AUGUAAUAUGUUUUUAAGUGGGAAUAAAUGACUUUAAAAGAAAUGAAUCCCAGAUUGGUUUUCCAUAAACCAAGUGU
rnacentral:pre_miRNA from 1 species